UAGCUAUUUUACAUACCUUCCUAUUUAGUAUAAUACUAAGCACUGACUAGAAAACAUUUUAUAUUAUUCUCAUAUUCAAAGUUGUAAAUUAUUAUUCAGUUAUUGUACAUCAGAGUUGUAUCUUUGAACAUGGGAAAAAGUAUUAUUUAUAUGAUAACUUUAUAUUUUAUAUUAAAUUUUCUUGGUUGUACAUACGCUACUAAGAAAGAUUGUCUCAAAGCAAUGGAGGACGAAGGGAUUCUUACGCGUAAAAAUGGAGAAUUGGUAGAUCAUGGUUGGAUGAAGGGUCUGACAGUUAUGUUUAAAGAUUCCAAACGUAUUUUAAUGAUGAUAAUACUUCUGUGAGUCCAUUAUCAUGGUGUGAAAGUGAAUAGACAAAAUUAAUAUAUAAAAAAAAAUUAAUUUUCAUUAUAUACUCGCACUUUUAAAAUUAUGAUGGCUUAAUGUAAGCAAAUUUGUUCUUUAUUAGAUGAAAUGAUUUUAAAUUUUAUAUUUAUGAUUUAUAUAAUCUUAUUAGAUGUAUUAAUAAUAUCGUUUUAUUUGAUAAACUAUAGUUUUUCUAUAAUUUUUUAAUGUAUUAUAAUAAUGUCUCACCACCAUUAUACCUUUUAUUUCUUAUUAUUAAUACGUGCACAUGUGAUAAACAUAUUUUAUUUAUUUAACGGGCGAGAUCUUUUUUGACAUAAUGUAUAUUAAAAUUUUAAAGUAAAUUAUAAACGUAAAUAAAUAC